UACGUAGGGUGCGAGCGUUGUCCGGAAUUAUUGGGCGUAAAGGGCUCGUAGGCGGUUUGUCGCGUCGGGAGUGAAAACCAGGUGCUUAACACCUGGCUUGCUUUCGAUACGGGCAGACUAGAGGUAUUCAGGGGAGAACGGAAUUCCUGGUGUAGCGGUGAAAUGCGCAGAUAUCAGGAGGAACACCGGUGGCGAAGGCGGUUCUCUGGGCCGAAAUUGACGCUGAGGAGCGAAAGCGUGGGGAGCAAACAGG
rnacentral:rRNA from 1 species